AGUAAAAUAUUUCAGAUCAAUUAACGUUUUGACAUAACUCAUGAAGUAUUUGUAAGGAACAUCGAACGUUCGAAAGUAACAAAUUGUUCGAAUAUAUUGUUCGAUUUUUCUAUUGUCGUCGUCAUCUUUAAAUAGAAAUAUUCAAUAAUAUUCUACAUUUUCGCUUUCUCUUUUGAUAUUAUUCGGAGAAUUUUGAUUAUAAGUAAACUUCGGUAAGCAAAUUAUAAAGAAAAUUUGGUUAACACUAGCCAUAUGUAAGUUUAAUAGAAAAAUAUGGAAGUUUUAGUAGAAAUGCUCAACCGAAUAUCCAUGAAAUUGCAUUCCAACAACAAGUACACAAGAAUUCUCGGCAAAUUAGAGCAGAAAUGUGGCUGCAACAGAUUUUUCAUCGUCAAAUUUUUAAUGAUUAUACUAGCUGUAUACACCGCAGUUGGUUAUGGAAAUGAAUUUGUCUGCACUUUCACAUCGAUCGUCUAUCCCAUUUACGCUUCAUAAGUUUUAAUUGUAGAGUACUGUAUUUACUUUUUCGAAUUUCGUAGUUUCUUACGUAACAGAAUAUUUAAAUGCAGAAUGAAUGCGAUUCAAAGAGGAACACCACGAGAUACAGAAAUUAUACUGACAUAUUGGGUGAUAUUUGCAUUAAUUUAUAUGUUUGAAAAUUUAUUUAAUGCCGUAAUGACUUCGAUUCCUUAUUAUUGGUUGAUGAAGAUAAACACCACUCUAAGUUCUUAUAUACAGAGUGGCCAUUAUUAGUUUCUAUAUUCAGAGCAGUCUGUAGCUGUAACUAAUAAGUGAAAUGACACAAAAAUUUGUAUACAGAUUAAACAAAGAUGUGGAAAAGGAUUUUAAAAAGUGUUCAAAAAUUUCAGCUCUGGGAUGUUUUGGCAUACGGUUUAUUAAAGAAACGUUGCAACAUUGGCAGACAAAGAAUUGUAUUACACUAUACGUCAAAAACAUCCCUGAAAAACAUUUACGAUCAGUUGUAGGACAUAUUGUUCAUCGCCUUCAAAUUUUAAACCUGAACAAUUGGACACACAUUGAAUAAUAUUACUGACAGCAGUAAAUAGC